CUUUGUUUGAUCUUUUAUGUUACUCUUUUCAGGAUGUAACUUUUGUCUUCUCUUCUCUUCUCUUGUCUCAAACCUUCUCUAGGCAGUCAUCCAAAGAGAGGCGAGGUCUGGAGGCCUUGGCUGCUCCCAGCGUGCAUAUCAAGGCAGAAUUGAAAAUUCCCAAACUUCAGACCACUGUUUCCAGGUGACUUUGAACACAGUUCCUGCAUUUCCU
rnacentral:lncRNA from 1 species